rnacentral:sRNA from 1 species
GCGGUGAAGAUUAGCUCCUAUCGGGGCA